rnacentral:rRNA from 1 species
CCUACGGGAGGCUGCAGUGGGGAAUAUUGGGCAAUGGGCGCAAGCCUGACCCAGCAACGCCGCGUGAAGGAAGAAGGCUUUCGGGUUGUAAACUUCUUUUCUCAGGGACGAAGCAAGUGACGGUACCUGAGGAAUAAGCCACGGCUAACUACGUGCCAGCAGCCGCGGUAAUACGUAGGGGGCAAGCGUUAUCCGGAUUUACUGGGUGUAAAGGGCGUGUAGGCGGGGACGCAAGUCAGAUGUGAAAACCACGGGCUCAACCUGGGGCCUGCAUUUGAAACUGUGUUUCUUGAGUACUGGGGAGGCAGGCGGAAUUCCUAGUGUAGCGGUGAAAUGCGUAGAUAUUAGGAAGAACACCAGUGGCGAAGGCGGUCUGCUGGACAGCGACUGACGCUGAGGCGCGAAAGCGUGGGGAGCAAACAGGAUUAGAUACCCGUGUAGUC